GGGUUGGUAGCUCAGUCGGUAGAGCAGUGGACUUUUAAUCCAUUGGUCGUGGGUUCGAAUCCCACCCGACCCA
rfam:Candidatus Accumulibacter sp. S1 isolate 3 genome assembly, contig: ACCAA_Contig_9